CCCCAGUAGGUGAGGAACAAACUGAGACCGACAGUCUCGAAGACGCGAGCGACAGCGCCGACGGCAACAGUAUCGAGGGGACGCUUCUCGGUGGCGAUUUGAGAGAUGAUCGAAGGAGCGGCGCUAGCAGCGAAAACCAAUGUACCCAAGUAGGCAGCACCCUUGUAUGUCAAAGUACCAGUGGCAUUGAUCAAAGCUCCGACACCGUAUGUCUG
rnacentral:misc_RNA from 1 species